GGGAGAGGCGGGUCACAAAUGAAUCAAGUUGAAUUCACUCAUUUUUGUUGCUGAGUAAUAUUCCAUGUGUGAGCAACCAUUUAUCAGUUGAAGGACAUUUGGGUUGUUUCUAGUUUGGGACUCUGAUGAAUGAAGUCUUGGCAGGAUUUCAUUUUUCCUGGGUAAAUGCCAAGGAAUUGGACUGCUGUAUUGUACAGCACACAUACAUUUAAUUUUAAAAAUAUAUGCCAAUCUGUUUUCCAAAGUGGUUCUACCAUUUUACAUUCUCAUCUGCAUAGUGUGAAAGUGUUAGUAGCCUUAUAUCCUCACCAACACUUGCUGUUUGUUAUCAGUCUUUUUUUUUUUUUUUAAAGAAAGAGAGAGAGAAUUUUAAUAUUUAUUUUUCAGUUUUCGGGGGACACAACAUCUUUGUUUGUAUGUGGUGCUGAGGAUCGAACCCGGGCCGCACGUGUGCCAGGCGAGCGCGCUACCGCUUGAGCCACAUCCCCAGCCCCUGUUUGUUAUCAGUGUUAUGUUUCAGUCUUUCUUUGUGUGAAAAGUAUCUCAUUAUGGCUUUAAUUUGCAUUUUCCUAACAAUGAUCAUCUUUUUCAUGGACUUGUCUGCCAUUCAUGUAUUUCCUCUGGUGAAGUGCCUUUACAAGUCUUUUUUUUUUUUUGCAGGGGAUACCAGUAAUUGUACACAGGGGCACUCUUUCGAAUACAGAGAAACAUUCCAAGUCAUUUUUAUUUUUUAUUUUGAGACAAGGUCUCACUAGAUUGUGCAGGGAUCUUGCUGCCUCAGCCUUCCCAGUUGCUGGGAUUACACGUGUGUGCCAUGGAGCCCUGCAACAAGUUAUUUGGACAUUCUUCUUUUUUCCUUUCCUUUCCCUUUUUCUUUUGGAGAUAAGGUCUAAGUAUGUUGCGCAGGCUAGUUUGGAUACCCUGGCAUCAAGAGAUUCUUCUUCCUCAGCCUCCUGAGUAACUGGAACACAGACUGUGCCACUAUACCCAGCUUCUUUCUGGCCAUUUAAAAAAAAAUUAUUUAUAUACAUUUUUUUGGUUGUUGAUGGGCCUUUUAUUCAUUUAUUUAUAUGUGGUGCUGAGACUUGAUCCCAGUGCCUCACACAUGCUAGGCAAGCGCUCUACCGCUGAGCCACACAACCCCAGUGCCUUUUGGGCCAUAUUUACGUCAAGUUAUUUGGUUACUUAUUGAGUGACAAGAGUUCUUUAUACAUUCUAGGUAUACAAUUUUUGUUAAAUAUUUCUAUUGUGAAUAUUUUCCCCCAAUUUGUAGCUUGCAUUUUAUUUUCUUAACACUGUAACAUCUUUUGAAGAUACAGAGUUUCAAAUUUUUAUGAAAUCCGAUUUAUCAUUUUUUUUCAAAAACCCAACUUUUGGAGGCUGGGGAUGUGGCUCAAGCGGUAGCGCACUCGCCUGGCAUGCGUGCGGCCCGGGUUCGAUCCUCAGCACCACAUACAAACAAAGAUGUUGUGUCAGCCGAGAACUAAAAAAUAAAUAUUAAAAAAUUCUCUCUCUCUCUCUCCCCCCCACUCUUUCUUUAAAAAAAAAAAAAAAACCCAACUUUUGGCUUUGCUAACUUUCUUUAUUCUUUGUAUAUUUUCUAUUUCUUGAACAGAUAUUACUCAAGAUUUGAGAAUUUUUUUUCAUUUUUAUUAUGGAUAUGUGGUUCCAGUACCAUCUGUUCAAAGACUUCUUUUACCCACUUAAUUAUCUGGGCACUUUCAUAAAAAAUCAACUGGACAGUUGAGCCUGGUGACACACACCUGUAAUCCCAGCAACUCAAGAGGCUGAGGCAGGAGGAUUGCACAUCUGAGGCCAGUCUCAGCAACUUGGCGAGACCCUUAGCAAUUCAGCUGAACCCUGUGUCAAAAUAAAAUGGGGUAAAGCACACUUGAGUUCACCCAAUAUCCUGCCCCCAAAAUCAUUUGGCCAUCCAAAUGUGAAACUACUGCUAAACUCUGUCUGUAUCAUUGAUAAGCUUGUCAAUCUUAUUUCAAAGUCACACUAUUCUAAUUAGGGUAGCUUCAUAAUAAAGCUUUAAAUAAAUCUUACAAUUUUAUAUUUCAAAAAUUGGUUUCUUGGGGCUGGGGCUGUAGCUCAGUGGUAAAGUGCUUGCCUCACAUGUGUGAGGCACUAGGUUCAAUCCUUAGCAUCACAUAAAAAUAAAUAAGGAUACUGUAUGUUCAAUAACUAAAUAAAUAUUUUAAAAAUUUGGUUUCUUGCUCUUCUAGAUCCUCUGUAUUUUCCAAUAAAAUUUUGGAAUCUGCUUGUAACUUCAACAGUUGCUUGGGUUUUUCUGCCUCGCGGUUCUGGGGAUCAAACCCAAGGCACUGGGAAUCCUAGGCAAGCACUCUACCACUGAGCUAUAUCAUCAGUCCUAACUGCUUGGAUUUUUAUUGGAAUUACACUUAUUAAUCAAUAGAUCAAUUUAGACAUAACUGACAUUGAUUCUUCCAACAUUAAUGACAUUGAUUCUUCCAACCCAUAAACAUGGUAUAAUCUGCAUGCAUUUGGUCUUCUUUAUCUUCUUUAAUUUUCUCAGGCAAUAUUUUCAAUUUUAAAUAUCGAGGUCUUGCCAGUUUGGGUUAAAUCUGUUCCUAAGAGUCAGGCAUGGUGGUCUGCGCCUGUAGUCCCAGCUGAGGCCAAGGGGGAAAAAUUACUGGAGUCCAGGAGGUCAAGAGCAGCCCAGGGAACAGUGAAACUCACAUCUCAAAUAUAUAUAUAUAUAUAUAUAUUUUUUUUUUUCCUAAGUAUUUUUUAUGUUAAAAAAAUGGACUUUUAGAAAUUUUAUUUUUCCAUUUUUCACCAGAAUAUAAAAAUACAAAUGAUUGUUAUAUGUUGACCUUGUAUUCUGUUACUGUCCUAAAUCCACUUAUUUUAGUAGUUUUAAGAUUCCUUGAAUUUUCUAUGUAAACAAUCAUGUUGUUAG
rnacentral:lncRNA from 1 species